AUUGAACGCUGGCGGCAGGCCUAACACAUGCAAGUCGAGCGGAUGAUGGGAGCUUGCUCCCGGAUUCAGCGGCGGACGGGUGAGUAAUGCCUAGGAAUCUGCCUGGUAGUGGGGGACAACGUCUCGAAAGGGACGCUAAUACCGCAUACGUCCUACGGGAGAAAGCAGGGGACCUUCGGGCCUUGCGCUAUCAGAUGAGCAUAGGUCGGAUUAGCUAGUUGGUGAGGUAAUGGCUCACCAAGGCGACGAUCCGUAACUGGUCUGAGAGGAUGAUCAGUCACACUGGAUCUGAGACACGGUCCAGACUCCUACGGGAGGCAGCAGUGGGGAAUAUUGGACAAUGGGCGAAAGCCUGAUCCAGCCAUGCCGCGUGUGUGAAGAAGGUCUUCGGAUUGUAAAGCACUUUAAGUUGGGAGGAAGGGUUGUACGUUAAUACCGUGCAAUUUUGACGUUACCGACAGAAUAAGCACCGGCUAACUCUGUGCCAGCCGCCGCAGUAAUAC
rnacentral:rRNA from 1 species